AACGAACGCUGGCGGCAUGCCUAACACAUGCAAGUCGAACGAGACCUUCGGGUCUAGUGGCGCACGGGUGCGUAACGCGUGGGAACCUGCCCUUAGGUUCGGAAUAACUCCCCGAAGGGGGUGCUAAUACCGGAUAAUGUCUUCGGGCCAAAGAUUUAUCGCCUUUGGAUGGGCCCGCGUUGGAUUCGCUAGUUGGUAGGGUAAAAGCCUACCAAGGCGACGAUCCAUAGCUGGUCUGAGAGGAUGAUCAGCCACACUGGGACUGAGACACGGCCCAGACUCCUACGGGAGGGAGCAGUGGGGAAUAUUGGACAAUGGGCGAAAGCCUGAUCCAGCAAUGCCGGGUAAGUGAUGAAGGCCUUAGGGUUGUAAAGCUCUUUUACCCGGGACGAUAAUGACAGUACCGGGAGAAUAAGCUCCGGCUAACUCCGUG
rnacentral:rRNA from 1 species